GUGCUCGCUUUGGCAGCCCAUAGACUAAAAUUGGAAAGAUACGGAGAAGAUUAGCAAAUGGUCUCUGCUCAAGGAUGAUACGCAAAUUUGUGAAGCAUUCCAUAUACAA
rnacentral:snRNA from 1 species